AUAUACACAUAUACACAUAUACUAAAAUUGGAAUGAUAUAGAGAAGGUUAGCAGGACCCUGUGCAAGAAUGACACACAAAUUCAUGAUGCAUUCCAUAUUUUU
rnacentral:snRNA from 1 species